CAGGGGUGCCCUCGGGCUGAGAUGCAAUAUGCAAUCCCUUAUGACCUGAUCUAGGUAAUACUAGCGUAGGGAGUCUAAC
rnacentral:ncRNA from 1 species